UAAGCAUAAUCGGCCACAUGAGGGGAAUUAUUGUGCAUGCAUUCGGUUAGAGGCAAGCUUAAUGAUGCCUAUUCUUGACUUAGGUAAUCGGCUACCUUGUUGUGAGCUAAGGCCGAAUGUGUGCGUAAUUAAAGAAAAUUGACUAAAGUGCUUAGUUAUGUGAUGUUGAAUCAAUGAUAUGUGUAUUCGGCUAAGGCUAGCAAGCGAGACUUUAAUAAAUUGAAUUUGUUUGAAUUAGCUCAAGAGCUUAGAGGGCCACAAUUGGAUAAGGGGAAGGAAAAAGUGAUCGAAUAGCCGUCAAAGCCGUUCGACAACAUCCGAGAUUUUGCUCGUAGCAAUCGGAUUCGGGAUCGUUAAAGUCGAAGUCAUCUACACUAUCAAAGCCUCCAUUUUGGUAUAAUUUUGGUUGAACUUUGAAAUUGCAUGUAUAGGACUACCCUAAUGUUGAAGGUCAUGUACCUUUCGGUUUUGUGUAAGCUUGGAUAGCCAUGCGAAAAUGGCUUAUAUACGUUUUUAGUAUGAUUCUAUAAUAGUUUGUAUGAUAAUCAUUAUGGGGUAUGAAA